rnacentral:rRNA from 1 species
GACGAACGCUGGCGGCGUGCUUAACACAUGCUAGUCGAACGGAAAGGCCCUGCUUUUGUGGGGUGCUCGAGUGGCGAACGGGUGAGUAACACGUGAGUAACCUGCCCUUGACUUUGGGAUAACUUCAGGAAACUGGGGCUAAUACCGGAUAGGAGCUCCUGCUGCAUGGUGGGGGUUGGAAAGUUUCGGCGGUUGGGGAUGGACUCGAGGCUUAUCAGCUUGUUGGUUGGGUAGUGGCUUACCAAGGCUUUGACGGGUAGCCGGACUGAGAGGGUGACCGGGCACAUUGGGACUGAGAUACGGCCCAGAGUCCAACGGGAGGCAGCAGGGGGGAAUAUGGCAAAAUGGGCGGAAGCCUGAUGAAGCAACGCCGCGUGCGGGAUGACGGCCUUCGGGUUGUAAACAGAUUUCGCCUGUGACGAAGCGUGAGUGACGGUAAUGGGUAAAGAAGCACCGGCUAACUACGUG